rnacentral:misc_RNA from 1 species
GAAAGGAGGAAACUUUGAGUGAAAUUUUGAGAAAAAUUGAAACCAAACAGCAGCUACUAAAGUGCUGUAUGCAGAGACAAGAAAAAAGGCACCAAAAUACUGUGCACAUGUGAAACAGUGGCAGAAAAAUCUUCAAAGUAACGGUUGUUACCGUUAUUUAACAGCCGUUAUCGUUACCGUUAUGUAAUGGCGUAACGGCCGUUAUAGUUGCAACUCCUUGUUUGCUUGUAAA